CAAUAGCGUAUAUUAAAGUUGUUGCAGUUAAAAAGCUCGUAGUUGGAUUUCUGGUAGGAGUGACCGUUCCGAACUUGAUUGUUCGUGUAUUGUGUUUUCUCCAGCCAUCCUUGUGGAGAACUUUUCUUGUAUUAAUUUGUAGGGAUUGGGACCCGCAUCGUUUACUGUGAAAAAAUUAGAGUGUUUAAAGCAGGCAAUCGCUUGAAUACAUUAGCAUGGAAUAAUAAGAUAGGACUUUGGUACUAUUUUGUUGGUUUGCAUACCAAAUUAAUGAUCAACAGGAACAGUUUGAGGAUAUUCGUAUGAACAUGUCAGAGGUGAAAUUCUUGGAUUUUGAUCAGACGAACUACUGCGAAAGCAUUUAUCAAGGAUGUUUUCAUUAA
rnacentral:rRNA from 1 species